GACGAACGCUGGCGGCAUGCCUAACACAUGCAAGUCGAACGGAGAUUAUUUCGGUAAUCUUAGUGGCGAACGGGUGAGUAACGCGUGGGCAACCUGCCCUCUAGAUGGGGACAACAUCCCGAAAGGGGUGCUAAUACCGAAUGUGACAGCAAUCUCGCAUGAGGAUGCUGUGAAAGAUGGCCUCUAUUUAUAAGCUAUCGCUAGAGGAUGGGCCUGCGUCUGAUUAGCUAGUUGGUGGGGUAACGGCCUACCAAGGCGAUGAUCAGUAGCCGGUCUGAGAGGAUGAACGGCCACAUUGGGACUGAGACACGGCCCAGACUCCUACGGGAGGCAGCAGUGGGGAAUCUUCCGCAAUGGGCGAAAGCCUGACGGAGCAAUGCCGCGUGAGUGAUGAAGGAAUUCGUUCCGUAAAGCUCUUUUGUUUAUGACGAAUGUGCAGAUUGUGAGCAAUGAUCUGUAAUGACGGUAGUAAACGAAUAAGCCACGGCUAACUACGUG
rnacentral:rRNA from 1 species